rnacentral:lncRNA from 10 species
CUGAAGAAUGCCUGUGAGAGCAGGCGUAAGGAGUGAUGAUGCUCAGGCUGUGUGCUGGCCAACCCUUCGCCAAGGCUUCUUAUUGCCUGAAGACUCUGUAAUUCGCCCUUCUGUACUACAGCAAACUUCUUCUGGCACCUGUCUGUGCAUCCACAUACAAUCUGGGUGCAUCUCACAUAGGUUGCAUUUUACAGAAGAAGAACAACAACAAAAGUCCUCUAUACACCAAUAAGAAGAGCCAGGACCACAAAAUGUGAAAGCUGAAGGGAACCUUCAAGAGCAUCUGACUCAACAUCCUUAUUUUAUGGGUGGGGAAAUGGACUCAUCCUAAUUUUAGCAUGGGUGUCUUAAUCUGUUCCUACUGCUAUAAUAAAAUACCUGAGAGUAGGUAAUUUACAAAU